AUGAACGCUGGCGGCGUGCCUAAUACAUGCAAGUCGAGCGAACGGACGAGAAGCUUGCUUCUCUGAUGUUAGCGGCGGACGGGUGAGUAACACGUGGAUAACCUACCUAUAAGACUGGGAUAACUUCGGGAAACCGUAGCUAAUACCGGAUAAUAUUUUGAACCGCCUGGUUCAAAAGUGAAAGACGGUCUUGCUGUCACUUAUAGAUGGAUCCGCGCUGCAUUAGCUAGUUGGUAAGGUAACGGCUUACCAAGGCAACGAUGCAUAGCCGACCUGAGAGGGUGAUCGGCCACACUGGAACUGAGACACGGUCCAGACUCCUACGGGAGGCAGCAGUAGGGAAUCUUCCGAAAUGGGCGAAAGCCUGACGGAGCAACGCCGCGUGAGUGAUGAAGGUCUUCGGAUCGUAAAACUCUGUUAUUAGGGAAGAACAUAUGUGUAAGUAACUGUGCACAUCUUGACGGUACCUAAUCAGAAAGCCACGGCUAACUACGUG
rnacentral:rRNA from 1 species